UACGUAGGGUGCGAGCGUUGUCCGGAAUUACUGGGCGUAAAGAGCUCGUAGGUGGUUUGUCGCGUUGUUCGUGAAAACUCACAGCUUAACUGUGGGCGUGCGGGCGAUACGGGCAGACUGGAGUACUGCAGGGGAGACUGGAAUUCCUGGUGUAGCGGUGGAAUGCGCAGAGUAUCAGGAGGAACACCGUGGCGAAGGCGGGUCUCGUGGGCAGUGAACUGACGCUGGAGGAGCGAAAGCGUGGGGAGCAAACAGGA
rnacentral:rRNA from 1 species